rnacentral:rRNA from 1 species
UACGUAGGGGCAAGCGUUGUCCGGAAUCAUUGGGCGUAAAGAGCGUGUAGGCGGCCACUUAAGUCCUGCGUGAAAUCUUGCGGCUCAACCGCAAGCGGUCGUGGGAAACUGGGUGGCUAGAGUGCGGGAGAGGAGAGUGGAAUUCCUGGUGUAGCGGUGGAAUGCGCAGAUAUCAGGAAGAACACCCGUGGCGAAGGCGGCUCUCUGGAACGCAACUGACGCUGAGACGCGAAAGCGUGGGGAGCAAACAGG